CGCUAGCGGCAGGCUUAACACAUGCAAGUCGAGGGGCAGCAUAAUGGAUAGCAAUAUCUAUGGUGGCGACCGGCGCACGGGUGCGUAACGCGUAUGCAACCUACCUUUAACAGGGGGAUAACACUGAGAAAUUGGUACUAAUACCCCAUAAUAUCAUAGAAGGCAUCUUUUAUGGUUGAAAAUUCCGAUGGUUAGAGAUGGGCAUGCGUUGUAUUAGCUAGUUGGUGGGGUAACGGCUCACCAAGGCGACGAUACAUAGGGGGACUGAGAGGUUAACCCCCCACACUGGUACUGAGACACGGACCAGACUCCUACGGGAGGCAGCAGUGAGGAAUAUUGGUCAAUGGACGCAAGUCUGAACCAGCCAUGCCGCGUGCAGGAUGACGGCUCUAUGAGUUGUAAACUGCUUUUGUACGAGGGUAAACGCAGAUACGUGUAUCUGUCUGAAAGUAUCGUACGAAUAAGGAUCGGCUAACUCCGUGCCAGCAGCCGCGGUAAUACGGAGGAUUCAAGCGUUAUCCGGAUUUAUUGGGUUUAAAGGGUGCGUAGGCGGUUUGAUAAGUUAGAGGUGAAAUUUCGGGGCUCAACCCUGAACGUGCCUCUAAUACUGUUGAGCUAGAGAGUAGUUGCGGUAGGCGGAAUGUAUGGUGUAGCGGUGAAAUGCUUAGAGAUCAUACAGAACACCGAUUGCGAAGGCAGCUUACCAAACUAUAUCUGACGUUGAGGCACGAAAGCGUGGGGAGCAAACAGGAUUAGAUACCCUGGUAGUCCACGCAGUAAACGAUGAUAACUCGUUGUCGGCGAUACACAGUCGGUGACUAAGCGAAAGCGAUAAGUUAUCCACCUGGGGAGUACGUUCGCAAGAAUGAAACUCAAAGGAAUUGACGGGGGCCCGCACAAGCGGAGGAACAUGUG
rnacentral:rRNA from 1 species